GUGGCUGAGGACCCAGUGGGCAGGCCAGGUCACCUGUUUGGGGAAUGGAGGCGGGCUCCUCCCUUAGGGCGUCACAAGGGCAGCAUGAGUGGCCUUUGGUCUCUGCCUCCAGCUGUUCUCCAUGCAAUUAGAUCAUGCGGUUCCUUCAGCCUGGUCCUCAGGGCAGACUCUGCAUGCCAGGGAGGCGUACACUCUCCUUCCGAGCAUCAUGACAACCUGUGAGGCAGCCUCACUCCAGGAACCCAAGCACAGGAACAUCGUAGGUCAUCGUAGCUCAUCAAGGUCCCAAGCCAUCCAGUGGCUACAUGAGGGCUUUUUCAAAGAAGAUGGAGAAGUGGAACCCCAGGCUCGAGGAUGCAGACUCUACAUUCUGAGGCUGUGCUGUUGAUGACCUCUGAUGAGCACAGUUAAGCAAGACCUAAUAAUUAAAUAUUGGUUUUUGAACCAAUUGCUAAGCCAAUUGGUGGCUUGAAAUUUGACUCAAAAGACUCUAUACCACAGAAACUGGCAAAUGCUAAAUCAUGAGAGUUUUUUUGUCUUUGCUUUCUGGAAUGUCAGUUUAUCACUAGCGGGGGACUUGUGCUGGAUCUGUACCCCACCCUGGCUAGUGAUUAAGAAGUUUAUAGCAGUCUCAGCUGCUUGGACCUAAGUGACCUGCCAAACUGGGGAGCUAGAACCUACCUGGCCCAUAUGUUCCCCUACAGUCUGUGACUCGGGCUGGGUGACUGUUCACAGGGAGGCCCUGCAGGCCGCACCUGUUCAUACUGGCCUAUCACAGGGUCUCAAGGCUAUAUAUAACGUGCUGGAAGGAGUUAUGGUCCAGCCUUUGGGUGGGCUUAGGGGCUCGUCUCUAGCUAGGAUCAAGAACAUGGUAAAGAUAUGUUUGCCGUGUCCCUUUGUCCUUGGAAGAUGCCAUACCUGGAACACAACAGAAACACUCAGAGACCUUGGAAUGGCCAUGCAAAUGGUGCACUGAUGAGCUCAACCAGGUGAGGCAGGCCAGGAGCCAUUGCCUCCUCCCAGAGCCUCAGCCUUGGCAGCUGAUUAUUGACAGGUAUAGGCACUGGGCGGGACGCCCUCAUUAUCCCCCAUUAGCUCUCCUGAGUGCUCUGGAGCAAGCACCCUGAACUUGAUCUGAGAGGAGGUAAAUCAGGACAGUAAACAGGAAGCA
rnacentral:lncRNA from 1 species